CUUAGGUCUGGAAAGUGGUGGCAGGCGAUGGUGUCACUGUCUCCAGUUCAACUGUGGAAAAGAGGCAUUUCCCUCACAUUCCUGGUCUUGAUCUCAAGUUGUGUUUGCUGCUGAGGAGGACAGGUCCUUCCAGCUCAAUGUGCCAGGCCCUUGCUUCUCUUUUCCUUUCCAUCCAAGAAAGA